GUGGGAGGCCGCGGCUGUGCCCCCCAGUACUGAGGAGGACGCAGGGCGUAAUUCGCGGCCUGAGUGCGUCCCGGCGGGCGGGAGGAAUCCCUUCCCGUCUCACGGGCUGCACCUCCCGGUGGGUGCUGCGGCGGGAGGACGGCGCCUCCCGGCCGGUGCACCCUGCGGUGGGACGCGCGCGGAGGGAAGGUGCCGGUGCCGGCGCUGUGCCCCUGGCGGCGGUCUGCGCAGGGCUUAUCCCUCACAAGAGGGGCGACCGGCACCGGGACCCGCCUCCGGCGUACUUCUUGGAGGUCCCUGCCCGGAGCGGGUUGGGAGGGGAUUGGGCAGGCUUCGGGGCCUGCCUCGGCUGUCAGCAUCCGCUACCGCCAGCGGCCUUUCCCCGGCGGCUGGACGGUAACGCGGCGCGAGAGAACGGUGUUAGCGGCCUUCCCACGAGGCGGCAGCACAGCCGAGCAGUUGGGUGGCCACUGCUUCAGAGGUGGGCACCUUCUACAUAUCCCCCUUACUUCAUGGGGACAAGCCUGGGUUCCAAGCCAACGAACUCUUCUUGUGUGCCUAUUCUGGCACCUGCCUGCGUUUGCUUAGUUUUUCUUAAUUUUUAACAAAACAAUGGGGAAAACAUUUUUUAGAUGUGUUACUUCAGAGAUCAGGAGGUCUGUACAAAGCAUAGAAAUGUCCUUUGGAAACGGACAUCCUUUAGAAAAGAUAUAAAUGUCCUUUAGUAAUGAUCCUAGAGGAAUGCACAUGUGUGAGGUUUUGGUACCUUGACUGCAGGGCAAUCACCAGUGUCACUGAGGCGCUUGCAGGUGCCUUUCCCACAUGCUUUAAUUUUUCCUCUUAGACCAAGCAUUCCUGUUAGAACACAGGGCCUCAUAACUAGCCACAGCUUUUAUGAGGGACCAGGAGGCUGAUUAAGCGUGCUGAAAAAGAUGUAAGAAACAGAUUGUGCUUAAGUGGAACCAGGUAGAGGAAUCAACACAUACCUAGAGUGCUUUGUCUUAGAAAGUUUACAAGGAAAACAACGUUUUUUCCGAUAUGAACCAGCUACUUGGCAUGCAGAGGCUUUGCAAGGCCUCCUGUACCUAAGCAACUGUACCUAUAAUACCCUGAAAAGACCAAAACUGCCAUGGUAAACACAUCAGUACAGCAUCUUUGGGUAUGGAUGUAGCAGAAUUGGGACCAAUGUGGAAAAAGUAAUUUUUUAGGUUGCUUUUUUGAGAGGAAUUCAGGUGGAUAAGGGGAGAUACAAGGGCAGUGAAAAGGUUGUUCCAGGUACAUGGGGGAAGAAUGAUUAAGCUCUGUUAAAAAAUGAAGGGGACUUCUGCUCCAGCUGUAAGAGUGCAGAUGCCCACAGACAGUAGUGAAGCUGAUCUGCAAGUCCAAGCCCACCAGGACAUUAGACAGCCACUUUGGAUAACCCUCUGAACUCUCCACCAGGUGCAUGUCCAGAAGUCUUGGUGUAGAAGAAUAAAGAAAAAUAGAAAUGCACCCUUGUACUGUUGGGGUGUGUGUGGGUGUGUGUGCAAGGGUCAGGAUAAUAAGAUUGAAAGUAUGUAAUUCAAAAGAUUUGUGAUAAUAGCUGUGUAAUAGAGUGUGAAAUUGUAUCACUGUAUAUUAGUAACACGGGUGUGUCUGUUCAUUAAUUAUAUUAUUAAUUGAUUUAUUAGUUGAGAAUGUGUUAUGUAAGUAAUAAAAAUUGUAUUCUCCUAAAUCAGUUGUUUCUCAAGCUUGCAGACCAAAAGGGUAGCACUGGAGUAAUUAGCUACAAGUGACUUCCAGCCAAAAGAGGAGGUGGUGGUGGAUUAAGGAACCGUUUCAACAUAUUUCCAAUAGAGAUUGCUGAAGAGGUAUGGUUUUCCCAGAAUUUGUCAGGGAGCAUUUUCCAGGAUCUGGCGAGGAUGGAUGCUGGUAGGAGCUAGAGAAAGGAGAUUGUGAAGGCUGCAAAGUAGGCACUACUUGGACUAAGAUGAGUUCUUGAAAAAAGAGAGGGAGGAUGUAAAAGCUAAUACAGAAUGCAAGAGCAGGAAGAUGUAACACAGUACUUAGCAGUGAUCAAAGGAACACAGCCAAAUAUGUAGUUGGCCAAGAAAGAGACCAAAAUGCUACUGUUCAGAAAAAACGUAUGCAGGUGGGAAAAAUGGAAAGGUGCAGGAGGUAGACAGGAGAACAACAGAGAAAGGAUGGGAAGAAAAUAGCCAAGAAUAUAGAUCCAAGUAAUGUAAAGGAGUGUUGAAAGUUAAGCAACUAAGAAACUAUAAAUCACAAAUUAAAAUGCUUUUCCAAUGGAAAUGGUAAAAUUAAGUAAAUUUGACAUAAUGACAUCCAGCAUUUUGUUUGAGGUAGGAUGAGACUGGUGUUUUCUCUUUUUCAAAAUGUGAGGGUAGAACCUUUUAACUGUGUGUCAUGUUGCAGGAAAAGCGUGCUUUCUUCAGCCUUAUGCAGCGGCCCUUUCGGAGCAGUGGGCCUCUUGUGUGUGGACUUGUCACACUUGUGAGCUGUGUUCCAAUCCAGUUGCUACUGAGAUCCUCUCCUGCAGGAACACCAGCACCCAGCGCAGUGACGCAGUUCGUCAUUUUCAGAAGCCACCAACCAGGGACAUCUUUCACUGUUCGAACUUCACUGACCAAGACUGUGUCAAUCUGGAUUUAUUCAACUCCUCAUUUUCACCCUACAUCAGGUCUCCGAAUCCUUUCUACAGUCUAGAUAGGAUAAAUCUCAAGAUGCUCUACAUUUGUUCUUGUUUUGAAUUAAAAUAUUUCCUAGGUCAGUUCUUCCAGAAGAGAUUUUUAUGACGUUAUCUCAAGCCUUGGAGAAGAUAAUAGGGGGAUCUUUGUGCUCAACUCACACUUUAUAAAACAUGACAGAUGAACAACAAACUAGUUGUUUCAGACUAGUAACAGGACACAGCCACGGCAUUAGUUCCCUUCCAAAUCACUGCCCCGAUUUCUGGAAGCUGAUUUAUUUAUUUUCCGGUGGUUAAUCAAUGUUCCUGGCCUGCAGCCUCGAAAGUAUCAAUAACCAGUUCUCAGCAUUCAUCCGGGGUGAGAGAAGUAAGGACAGAAGGGCCGUACCACAAAACUGCAGCUUCUUUCAGCCUCUUUGGGUUGCAUACCUUACUGUGGGAAGACUGAUCAAGGGUUGGUCAGAACAGUACCAAGAAGCUCCUUCCUUUAUUUGGCACAAGUGAGAGUUUUUCAGAGGAGGAGACAGAACUAGGAUGUCUUCCCUUCUCCGCUUGGUACCUGCCUGGAGAACUGUGUCCUUUAUACUAUUGACUCUGUCACAGGGAUCUACGACUUCAUCAUAUACGCGAGAUUGCUUUAGUCAUUUACCCAUGACUUAGGUGGACAAGCAGGAGACACAAAUUUUGCAGCAGCAAAAAGGAAUGCUAGAAUAACUUAAUAGUGAGCAGCAUCACAGUGAUGAUGUGAGAACAAAGGUCCAAAGACCCUCGUAUCAAGCCCCAGGAAGGCAGAGGGAUGCUAAUGGUUGUCUAGGGGAAACAGUACAAGAAACAAAGCAACCAUAAAGCUGUUCAUGCCAUUGCAUUACGUUCAGCUCCCAGGGAGUUUAAGAAAUUGCUGAACUGGAGGUCACACCUGUACCACUGUGUUUAUGGUCACAGUGAGGUCUAUUUUCUGUGAAUUUGCCUAAUCUCUUUUUAAAUGCAUGUAUACUAUUGGCCUCCAUAGCAUCCUGCAGUAAAGGAUUUCAGCAUUUAGUCAUUCCUGAAAAAGUGUUCCCUUUUGUGUUUUUUUUAGAACAUGUAAAUACUGAAGUUCCACACUCAGUCACUUGAUUUUGCUUUCUCGCAACUGCAACUAAGCUUAGUAAGGGCAGGAAAAAAAAACAUUAGAAAGGAAGAAAAGUUGACAGCAAGAAUGAAAACCUAAGCAAUGCUGCCACAACCACUCUGGUGGAAGUAGGGUGGACUGUUAUGAUGCCAGCAACCUUUCUGAGGAUUUGUUUUUGAACUCUAGGGAGGUAUUCAAGCACUACACGCUAGGUAACAUUGCAAAAACUUGCAUGAAUGGAAAAACAUGGUAAGUUUGCUUUUCAAAACCUGAGGUUCAGAAUGGUGAACUAAAUAUAGCAGAAAUGAACAGAACUGAUGUAAGUAGAUGCACUCAGACCUUCAUUUUAACUUUGUUGGGAAGUUGCAUAAAAGAAGUAUAUGUCCAUGGUGGCAUAUACACACACACACACAAUAUUAAAAUGCAGAUUCUAGCUCCACAGUGCGCGUGAGCAUCUCCAGUUUACAUAUGCCAUAUGUGAACUUUUCUUUCAGUUAGCUCUCACACCUUCCUAACAUAUAUUGGUGUGGAAGAUCAGUUUCAGCACAUUCAAUCAGAUCAAAAGCAUCUACAUAUUUCAGACUCAGAUUUUUAUAUUGCCCCUUAAGAGGCUUAUACAACAAAGCAUGACUUUAUUUUAAAAAGUGUUAGGAGGUAUUUUAUUAUUCCUUCUCACAUUUAUUCCCUAGGAUCUAGAGAGUACAAAACCAAUACUGUAUAUGCCUAGGAUCACAGGUACUUACACUAAAUAAAAGAGAGAGUGCCUCAAGUACAGAUUAGGAAAUCAGGAUUUAAAAUUUCCCACCUUCUUGCUAGCAUUAUAUUGCAUACUAUUUGCAGUAUGUACACACAAAUAGAUACUGAUAUAUACAGACACACACAUACAUAUACACACAUAUAUAAGUAUACAAACAUUUAUGACUUGCUUAUCUGGAUCAUACCCAGCCUUUUCAACGUGGUGUUUCCAAAGUGUCAUAUUAAAGCCUGUUGGCCAGCUUCACAUUUCCUGCUCACUGAACUCAAGCCAACAAUCUGUGCCAGACUGCAGUUAGCUAAUUCAAAAACAACUUGCAAAAACCAUUACACAAACCAAGAGAUGAAAAUCUGGGUCUUUUUGUUGUCCUGAUACAAAUAAAUAUGUUAUCAAAAUUAAAACAUAUCAGAUGGAUUUUAUAUUGUUUUCAAAGCCUUAGGACUAGUAUUAGCAGAAACAUGAAGGACAUAGUUAAUCAGGUAUUUUAGAACAAUUGUUUUCUGGCUGCAGAAUCCUUACAACCUGCAGGAGCCCCUAGCCAAAGGUGCACGCCAACUUCCUCGCUGACUUUAUUGGCCGUUAAGGAACUGCCAGGGGAGUGUUUACUGUUUCCACAGGCAAUGACCCAAUCUACAGGUCACACCCAGUAACCAAGAAGUUGAUCUGCCAGACUACUGUGCAUGCCUACAACUUCUUAUCAUCCAAGUCUAGACAUGAUGCACCUUGGAAAACAAUACAAAGGCAUGUCAGCCACCACAUCUAUAUUAUUGGAAAAGUGGUAGCCCUAUCUUAUUUUGAGACCACCUCAUUCCAUGAAAAGACUGUUUUUCACUUGCUUAUAACCUUGCCAAGAUGCAGUGACUUCAGCUCAGACUUUCCAUGCUGGGUCCUUGCUUCGGGUUGUUUUGGAAGAUUUAAGCCAAAACAGUUCCAUCAUUUCCAAGAACAAGUCUAGGAAAAAAGGUUUUAUUUUGCCCCUAUUUAAAAUAUUCUUUGAAAAGUUUGGGUACUCCUAGGCUUUGGAGUACGAAAAUGAAAAGUGUCAGGAUUUGGUCUUUGUGCCAGAACUGUGCUUUCUGUCAAGUCAUUAGCUUCUGGAAAACUAAAAUUUGUAACAUAUGGUACAAGCAGGGCAGCAGACUAGGACAUGGACAGGAUUAGAAGGAAAAAAAUGGACUGUCCAGAGCUGAGGAGACAGGAGUAAGAUGGGGAAUGGGAGGGGGUUGUUGCCUAUGGGGCAGGAUAGAUAAGACAAAGGUGCAUCACUAAGGAGGCAAGAGAUGUGAGGACAGGUUGGAGAAGACAGGACAAGAAAGGUCAAGCUUCAAUGAGCUUGUUUCUCUCACGUUUCUCUAUACUCUCUCCCUCCAGAGCCUGAAGUGUAAUCUCUGACUUUCUGGUUCCCACCACUCCUUGCUGUCAGGCAAAACAUGCUCUGAUGCACCUUCACCACUGGCCUACACUGAAGUCGGCCAUUGAAAUGAGUGUUCCUUGUCAGCUGUUUCACUAGGUGCUAGGUAGAGCGACACAUCUGUACAGAUACCUAACC